GAGGUAAUGUCUUGGGACUUCCUGUGUACAAGGAAGGUGACACUUGCAGCCGCUGUUCAACUGGCACCACCUGUGACCAGACUACAGGACUGUGCGUUAUGGAUGAAACCAAGUUUCAGGCCCAAGGUCAGCAGGGUUGGAAACUCGACGAGGAUGAAGUGAACUGGAGAGGCAUUGGCCUGGCCAUCGUGAUUGUUCUCUGGUUCUGCCUGUGAAGUCGCACACUCACCACAUCAACACGAUGAUCCAUUCUUCAAUCA